AAUUCACCCGCUUCCCUGCUCCUCUCUGGCGAAUCCAGAUCUGCUCUCUGGGCGAAUCCAGAUCUGGAUUUAGGGUUUUUCUCCAAGAAGAUCUAGCCUUUCUCAUUAACACCAGAUCGAUAAAGAAAUGUCAAUGCAUUAUCCAUUCAGAUCUAGCCUUUCACCGGAGAGUCGGAGACCCCAAUUGCAGCCACUACCGUCGUUCACAACCACCACCACCGCUCGCAACAACCACCACCAUGGAUGUUUGGCUACCAGAUAGUGGUUGUUGAUGGCUGCAGACAUGGUGGCGAUACGCGGUUUGCUGGAGCUCCAACAUGAAACGAGCUUAAUCUGUGAACCAUCUGGCUAGCCUUUAUGAGUUCUUAGUAUUUUUUUUUUUUUAUAAAUUCUUGUUGAUUAUUAGUUUUUACUAUAACAAACUUCAUGUAAUAAUGGGAUUGGAUUUUGUUUACGUUACAAAACUGGUGUUGAAUCUGAGAAUUUGAAAUUACUGUAUGUGGAUUCUAGAAAGUCAAAUGUUGACUCUAUUUGGAAUUAAGUUUACAGGAUAUUCGUGGAAAUGAGGUGCCUUUGAGCUUUUACAAGAGGAAGGCUGUGUUAAUUGGUAAUGUUGCGUCACUCCAAAUGAACGACAUCACAUAGAAACCUGAGUUCAUACAGGGUUUUGGCAAAGUUCUGGCUAGCUCCGGUGACCUGUUCUCAUCUUGCUUGUGACAUCUUUGUGUAGAUCGGCCACCCUAAGACCUCUAUAGCUGUUGAAGUAUGGAGGAACCAGCCAUUGCCGCUGAUGACGGACAAGAAGCCGCCCCUCCGUAUCUUUCAUGACAACUUCAUCAGUAAUGAAAAGAUAGGCUUUUUUAUGUUCGUGGUGAAAAGUAUAGACUGUAUGUUUGUUGAUUUAUUUGGGAUUUGAAGCGUUAUCCGGCGAUGAUGGUGGCUUGC
rnacentral:lncRNA from 1 species